rnacentral:rRNA from 1 species
UACGUAGGGGGCAAGCGUUGUCCGGAUUUAUUGGGCGUAAAGAGCGUGUAGGCGGCCAGACAGGUCCGUUGUGAAAACUGGAGGCUCAACCUCCAGACGUCGAUGGAAACCGUCUGGCUAGAGCCCGGAAGAGGAGAGUGGAAUUCCUGGUGUAGCGGUGAAAUGCGCAGAUAUCAGGAAGAACACCCGUGGCGAAAGCGGCUCUCUGGGACGGUACUGACGCUGAGACGCGAAAGCGUGGGGAGCGAACAGG